CCCCUUUCCCCUUUUCCUGGGACGUGGGCCCGUGGGUCCCCCGUCCCCUUCGUCACGGAAUCGGGCCUAACGGCCAUAAACCAUUGACAGAAAUGCAUAGCUGUUCAGAUUAUAAAAUGUGACAAAGAGAAAACAGCCAUUGAGAAAGCUGCUGGGGUGUAGAUGUCAGUUCCUUGGAGACAUAAUUUGUGUGUAUUUACUUCAGAUAAAUGAAAACUGUAAAUUCUUACAGAUUCAAACAGUAACAGCCAUCUUUUAGAGCUUUUGGUUCUAUUCGUUCUCUUCAAUGCUAACGAUGUUGGUCACUAUGUUUCUUAUAUGCGUUUUAAUACUUACAUCUUGUUCACUCAUUUUUACUACAUUACUGUUAUUUCUUCAACUGACUGAUUUAAAAUUUCCUGAGAUUUUAAGAUCUAUGGCAGACCGGCAAUGCAUCAUUUCAGUAUUGGCAUAGUGCCUUCUCUAUAACAGGAUCAAAGUUUUGCCACUUUCAUAAUCUGAUACUGCACUAAAAACAAGUACGGCACAUGAUAAAGGCAUUGGACAAUCGUCUGAUACAAAGGAUAUUGAAUCAUAUAAAACUUUAACUUAUUAUUGAAAUGAGAAAAAAAAUGCUAAGAUGAAGGGGAAAACAAGACUUUGAUAGAUUUCCUUUGCCAAAACUCUGAGUAAAUUAGACAGGAUUAAAAAAAUCCCUAGUUGGAAGCCUUUUUGUUGUUCUUCCAGUUGCCCAGUGAUGAUGUAGGAUUCCUUUUGGGAUAUGCAAUCUUGGCAUGAUCUGCUCCCAAAGCCAAAACUUGCCAAUUCGUUCCUUGCAUGGAAUAAUAUAAAUUCUUUUCUACUUUUCUAAUCCUCACUACGAGCACAUUUCCAGUGCAUUUUUUUAAUUGUUAAACUAAAAUUAACUUCUAUUUAAAUCCAAUGCCAUAAUAAUUUUGUUCGGUUUAGUCCUGUAUUUUAAAUAAUUGCUACUCUUAACUAAGGAUAACUACCAUUUUACAAUAGUGUAACUGAUACAGAAGAGGAUGGCUUUGAUUUCAGUAGCUGAUACAUAAGCACCAAUGAUGGAAUAUUAACAGCAUCUAAAGCAUCUUCUAAAAACGCUGUGCUACACAGAAGACACGUCUGCUGGAGCAGUGACGUGCAGUCAGUGCGUACAGCUGUGCACCUGUGGUGAAGAGCUGAGAGAUUUUGAGUGUCCUUAGAUUUUAUGAAGGACUUGCACUAGUUUUUCCAUUAAAGGCUGCUUCUUGCUCUGAAACAUCCAAGCUUGCUAAUGUGACUAACCAAUGCAGUGCUGCUGCUGAAUGGUCAAAAGGCACUCAUGGAAGAAUUAACACUUAAAGAUUCAGGUAAGUGGGCUUUCUAAUACAAGGUUUUUCUGGCAUUUGCUUUGGACAUGCUAUUGCUCUUGAACAAUCCAAAUGGCAAAGAUGAAGGAAAAACCUCUGCUCCCAUUCCAAUAUUGUUUUAAUAAGCGGAGAAUAGUGCUAUAUUAUAAUCUGAAAUGGAUUUAAAGAUACAUUUCCUCAGGAAUGUCUGACCUUGUGCUCUCCACACAUGAAACUGCUUCAGUCUUCACUUCAAUAAUUAACUACAUUUUAUUUCAUUUGGCAACGCUCUUAUCUUGGCUUUUCAAGAGCUGUAAGAACAUUAGAGUUGCUGUAGCAUCCCUCCCGUCUAUUACUUGGCUAAAAGGAGACUGCACUGCUGUGCCCUCCUAUCCUCUGGUGAUCAGAGUAUAAGGGCUUCCCAAGACAGGCUCCAUUAGGAGCAUGCAAACCACCAUGUUUCGCAGCACCAAGUCCCUGUGGGGAUGGUGCCCUUCAGAACCUUCUUGUUUGUUUCCACCAUAUUCUGUGGCAGUAAGAGCCACGAUGGAACUGUGCUGUGUGAAGAAGCACUUUUCUGUUUAAACUGGGUUUCACUGAGUGCCGACUGGUUGUCAUUUUAUGAAAAAACAGCAAUUGUUCAUUCUUUCUUCAUCUUUCAUGAUGAUGGAAACACCAUACUCCUUAGAGUUGUCCCCAUGUCCUGUGCUACUGAUGACAAGGAAGCUCACUGCUCGGCCUCACAGUAGCAAGGACUUUUUCUAGUUCUUCUCCAUCUAUAAUCGUGUUUUCCUUUGCCAGAUUAUGUUACUAUGUUGACCAGAAGCCCUCUCAAGCCUUCUAGGUUUUAAACUGCCCUUAGGAGCCAUCUCGCUAUUUCUUAAGAACCUAGUUUUCUUAAAAGCCUUCUCAAAGAAAAAAAAAGUAAACAAGUCAAACUGCACUAAGCAGAAGCACAGUAUGGAGAAGAUCCCUUUGUUCACAUGUUCACUCUUUCAAUAAUAAUAAUGCUGUGGUAUUAUGAAGAAUUAUUAUUCAUAAUAUUGUGGGUAUUCUUGCAACACUUUUGGGCUUCACAGAUCCACCAGUUCUGAAGACAGUUCCUCAAGUGAAGCACACAGUUAGGAAAACAGGGUGCUUUGUAAAAGCCAAAUACAUAAGUAAAAGUAGCUUACUAUUUCCAAGGUAUGGAACUGCUGCAAUGCUCACAUCAGAAGUUGGAUCCCUACUUUUCACUCUACCAAGCAGAGUUCCUGGCAGCCAUGCCAUAUAAGCAAGUCAGCUGAGCGGGACAAAUAGCCAACAGCUGUUUCAGUCACAAAAGUCAAGUCAAAAAAGCUUGUGUUCCUAAAUCAAUACUUGUUCUUAGGGCCUCCAGAACAGCACCCAGUCCAUCUGUGCCUUCAACCAACACCCUUGUUCUGGUCCCACAGUUUCUCAGCCUAGGGCAUGUGCUCCUUUUACAGUGCCAACCACAGCCCUGCCCACCUGUUAUCUCUGGGUGCUCAGCAUGCUCUAUUAUCUAAUUCUCCUCUGUAGCAGAAAUGCUAAAUCACGGCCUGAACCGGUGACUGAGCACCUGGUGGGAAGGCAGGGCCAACCCAGGGGAGCUCAGGUACAUGCAAUGCAGCUGAGUGACCAGAAGGGGUGGAGCCAGGAUCCACCCCUUCCCAGACCUCACUUAAGGGUUGGCAGUGGAGACAAAAGGAUCCUGCUAGAGAUUCCUGUAUAUCUGAGGCCUUUAAAGGGCCCUGUGGUUUCCUGUAACCAGCUGCUGACACGGGCUGAAGGACCAGCUCAUUUUCUCCUGUGGGAUGCACCCAUCAUAGCAAAAAUGCUAUCCUCAAUUAUAUUAACCAUGAUCCCUGCGGGAAACCUCAAGGGGCAAUGCAUAGAAGCAGGCUCACUCACCACAUAAACAGAGUACAAUUUUCUUUUAUGUUAGCCUGCAGAUUGCAAGCCACCCCUAUAAAGAGCUCUCUGUCUCCUCACUUUGGCAGCGUUCCUUGUCCCUCUGCACCAAAGCUGUAUUCACAUCAGUAUGUAGUCACUGUAAGAACACUGCCUGCGCUUUUCAAAUAGACAAAGGGAGUUAGCAUACCAGAUGCUGGUGCCCUGCGCAGGUUGUGCAGUGCUCUGCCCCACCAGCAGCCCCAGAGAAGACCCAACCUGAGUCUGCGUGAGCAUGGCAACAGAAUCUAGCCACCAGUCUUUGGAUUCAUGAAUUCUCUCUCCAGCUAACACUCUUUUUAAGGAAUGAAUGCAGCAAUUAGUACGUAGUGAUCAAAUCAUGAUGGCAAUGACAGUGAUGAGUGAGAAGAAUACUGAUCUUGAAAAACAGCAGGCUAUGGGGAAAUUUGCAAUUCAAUACUAACUCCAGAGCCUGAACUCUGUAACUCAUGCCCACCAUGUAUUUUUUUCUAUUUACCUUUUGAGACUAGCGCCUGGGUGACAAAGGAACAACUGUGAAAAUAGAAAGAACAAACAUGUAUUGUAUUAGCCAGAAUUUGUUACUCACUUGUUAAAUAUGUAACUUUCGUAUGUUAAGUACUUGUUUUAUAUGAUUAUAAUGUUGAAUACAGUACUCAUCUUAAAAACUAA